CGAAAUGCAAACAGGUGGCAACUUGCGACGAACAGCAGCAGCACAGCAUAUCAAACAGGGAGGCAACGCAGCGCAUCAACCAACAUCAAGCCUCUUCGAGCAUAAAAAAAAUGGGGAAAAUGCUGCUUUCGGUAUAAAAGUAAAUACAUGCUUAUUAUGUAUAGCAAUACAUACUAUACAUGAAGAUGCACGGUAAAUAGUGAAAUCUUUUUAGUUCGUGGGCAAAUUGCAAUCGCUACCGUCAAAACUUAGUGUGACCGCAACUUCAAUCCUCCCCACGAAAAUAUACUAAACUAAAAGUUUCCUUUGAGAAUAAACAAACUGAAGACAAAAUGUUACAAACGCUCCCAUAAAUCUAUAUACUUCUCCACAGAAUUUGACGUGAAAAUAUACCACAUCAAGUAUAUAAUGUACCAUGCGAGCGGUCACGCUGUGUGCGAGACAAAUAGCACGCUGUAUAUUCGAGAACCAACCAGCGAACGGCAGCUCGCUGCUUUGUGGUUCAGCCCCAUGGCCAGGCCAGAGAAGCCAUUCGCAUUUCGUGCCACUGAGGCAAGCAAGCAAAAGGAGACGGCGGGAGUAAUUCCGCAAAAAAUUGAGUUAUCGGCAUUUGCAAUCAAAACUCGACAUUUUUUAAUGUGCUAUCUAAAGACGAAGCAAAAUAUAAGGCAAAGUGCAAAAAUGGCUCAUAAAUUCAAAUACGAGACGCUUACGUAAGUGCAAAUGGCUCACACUACUUACAUACAUAGUGUUUGUGCCAGAGAGAGUCAGAAUAUGUUCAGGCAUUGGUAUCUACAGGGUGUUUCGGCUAGCUGGUCAUGACUAGCAUACCAAAAUGACGACAGCAACAUGUUUGCUUGCACUAUGGCCACCCUAUAAAAGAGAGCGGCGAGAGCCAAACCAUGGUGAUGAUGCGGGAGAGAGAGAACACCCACACAUAUACAAAUAUACAAACCAUACUCGCGAGAGUUCAGCGCGGCCACAGAGAUAUUGCAGUACAUAAUGAAAUCGACAAAACUGAAAAUCAGAAACCAAACAGACGAGUAGCAGGCUACAACACUGCCACGGUUACACUUUGUGACUUCGACGACGGCAACAGAGCGACGGCAUACACCUUGCCUCACCUCACCUUACACUUGACUUGACUCACGCGUACACACACACAUGCAUUGAUAUACCUACGUGUGUGUGCUCUGCACAAGUGGUGGUGAAAUGGUAGUUUUUGCUGCUGUCAAAACGGAAACGAGAAGACGACGCACAACGACAGAGACACACCAUAGAAAGCAGCAACAGCAGCCAGACAUGAAGGUAAAAGAAAACCAACACACAAUGUGGAUGCAAGUUGAGACGGUGGCUGCGAUGCCAACGCCACCAUGGCAAUGGCGGAGAGAGGAGCGAUGUACGUGUGUGAGUGUGGAUAGCAUAGCUUACCAUGUAUGUAUGCGUCUACAUACAUAUGUGUGCAUACACUGGUCGGCCUUUUUGCUCUCUGCAAUGGUCAAACACAUGUUGGAAUUUGAUCGGCCGUGAGAAAAAGGAACUGAAUGGGGGCUGAAUGCAGCCGCAGCAGCAACGGCAACAGAGGAGCGGCGUCCAAUAAAAAUCUGUAUACUUGCGAAUUGUGUUUGCUGCGCUCAUCGCGGUGGUGAAAAUGGAAACCUUGCAAUUAUCGAUUUCUUUUCGAGUGCGCUCGCUCAAUGCAUUGCGCACAACGUGCAGAAGAGAGAUAGAAAGGGGUUGUGACUGUCACCUGCCAGCAGCAGCACAACAACUGCAAACUGCAACACUGCGUUAGCCGAUAACUAUAGAUAAUGCAAAUCGAGUAGAACAAAAACACAACAAGCUUUGACGGCCGACAAAAGUUCAAAGUUCACCAACAGCAGGCGCCUGUGCAGUGUUCUGCAGCAGUUGCACUUCUUUCCCAAAACACACAGUCAUAACCUCCUGCUCCAACAUAAGUGCAAAAGGGACAACCACAGUAGUGUGUGUGUGCGUGUGUGGCUGGCAAUUGCAUAGCCUAGUGGGACACGGACUAUGGAUUGUUUGUCUUUUCCAUAUACUACAAUUUUCACGUAUAUGCCACUCGCCACGCCACGCCACGCCACGCCAUUUGCUAUUGCGCAACAAUAAACAAAAGAUAUAUAAAUAUAUAUGUAUAUUUAUAUAUCAAAUAUACACACAUCUAUAUGUAAAUAUGAGCAGCAGCUGCGGCAGAAUGGUCGAAUGUAACAUCGAAAAGCAAGCAAACAACAACUGUUUAAUUAUACACAAUUUAUAUAAAUACUAUAUAUGCUGUGCUGCAUUUUAAAAGCAAAUUUUUGUUAAUUUGUUGUCUUAUGUACUCCAAGUUGUGUGUAUGAUAUUUCAGAAGAUAGUUUAAAAUUACGUGCAAAGUCAUCGAAAAAUGUGGUAUCAAAAAAAGAACAGAUAAAGGGCAAUGUAAAUUAAUUUGCAAGAUAUGUUUUGUGUAUAGCUGAUAUUAGUAUAAUAGUAUUAUUGUCUGUAUUCCUACCUAAAGGCCGGGUUAACGAAAUGUCUUACUAAAUAUAGCAAUUUUGAAGCAGAUACAUUAUUUGUAGAAAUUUUAACAAACUAAAUCAAAUUGAUUGAUGAAAGAAGUUGUGUUUUAAUCCGGUUAUGAGCUAUUAAUUUGGUUAGUGAAGUCUUGUAAGACAAAGAAAUACAGAAAGUUAAUGUUCCCAUGUAUAGUCAGAAGCGACUAUUUAAUUAAAACUUUAUAGAAUAGGUCAAUCAUAAAAAUAAGAAAUUAUAAAAGAAAACAAAAAAUAGUAAAUUAGUCACUGAGCAAUAUCUUAAUACAAUAUAGUAAUACUUAUUUAAUCCAUAAGCUUAUAGACAUACUGGUUCACUAAACUUUAGAGUUUAUUUGAUAAGUCAUUAAGUUGUCAUAUAGAAAUUUAGAAUAUUUGCUUCACUCAAAAGUGAGGAAUUUUAAGAAAAUAUUUGCUUAAAUUAGGUAAGCCAUUUAAUAUAUAAAAUAGAAAGCUUUUAUAUUGGAAUACGAAAACUAACCUCUACAUAGCGAAGAACCUUGUAAAAGUUGAAUUUUAGAGCGUGUGCACAGCACAAAGAAGAUAUCUACUUUACAGUAACUACAUUUUAGCCUAGGCGGGUUCAAGAUUUGCUCGUUGGCCCUUGACAAACAAACGAAACACAACACAAUCCAACACAACAAAAAGAAAGACAAAGCUUUGUAAAUUGCAUAGCACACUAGGCGUUACUUGCAGGCAUUCCCCGUUUUAAAAGCUAGCCUCUCUCUCUUUAUUUACAUAAAAGGCGACAUAAAAUAAAAUACAAAAAUGCAACAGCAACGAAGAUUAAAUACACUUUGGUUGGAAACUAGAUAACUAAACAUUUGAAAUCAAGUUUCGCAUAUGAAAAAAGGAGUUAAGGAAUGCCUUAACAAUUUGUUGUGGUUACACAUUGCUUCGCGAAGUUAACAUGGUUACUUUUUGAGGGUAUCGACUAUGAAGUGCGAUCGCAUGUAACUAUAACUCGUUUUUCAAGUUUUCACAUCUUUUUGGGUAAAUGAAAAAGCAAGCAGCCAAAAGCUAACCCCAAAGCGAGGCAAACUAAAACCAGACUUGAAUCACAAGCACAUUGAAGAUUUUGUACGAGAACUGACUACAAAUUAAGGUCUUAUCAAUACUGUGUUAAAGAUAAAUUUAAUUUAACUACAUGUAACUGGCCAUGUUUGCCGGCUAAAUAACAUAGACUGCAUUAAAUUUCAAUACUUUUAGUCACUAUAUAAAAUACAGCAUUUUGUGAAAUAACUUUGUCUUGAGUUGAGUAGUUUUGGUCAAAAAGCUAGAAUUCUACGAAGUGCUGAAGUACGGAGAAAAAGAAGGGGUAGGCAUACAAUUUGAAUUUGAACUGCUGACAACAUGGUAUUUUUGUUGUUGGUAUUUUUAUUAAAGGUGAGAGAGAGAAUGUGUGCGGCAAUGAGAGAGCGUAAAUCGGUCUCGCGUUCUUGGCACUCUCAGUGCUCAGUUCAAACAUACACACACACAUGCACUCUCAUUGUUGUUGUCGGUGUGGGAUUGCAGCAGUGUGUUCGUGUAAAUGAUAUGCGUCAUUGUUGUUGCUCUCUCUUUGCAAUACCUUCCUUUUUACAGACAUUUAUUGUGUGUGGCGUUUUUUUUUAUAACUAUUUUUUUUCUUUCGUUUUAUCAAAUUAAAAAGAGACAAUUAAAUAUGUCUACGUUCACAAUUUUCAAAGACAAACACAUACAUGGGCACGUAAUCGAAUUGCGGAAACUUUAGACAAAGACAACGGUGGAAGGGAGGAGGAGCAUGCAUUAUUAAUUAUGAAUUAAUAAAUAAAAAGCACUUGCAGGAAAUUUAAUUUAUAGAUUGUGACGCCUGUUUCACGAAUGCGCUAUCGCUCAGCGUAAUCAAUUGAGAAAUUGAGGUUAUGUACAAAUUACUGGCACAGACACCGUCACAACACACUCAAACCCAAAAGUAUAUCUGCAUAUGUAUGUGUAUACAUAUAUAAUAAUGGGCGCGCAUUUUUCUAUAUAUGUAUGUAUGCAUCGAUAUAAUAUUUAUUGCCGCAGUUUACAUACCUGAUUGCAAGUUUGGGUCACGAAAUCUCAGCAACAUGUCACAAGAUAAAACUUUUUUUUUAAUUUUUUUUUUUGUACUUUUUCUUUUUAUAUUGUGUAUUUCGCACUUUUAGUUAGCAACAACUGGUCGCGUAUUAUUUUUGUUUUGCGCUAAUAAUUUAAAUAUGAUACGUUUUGUUGUGUGAAUCUUUCGCAGGCAGAAAAGAAGCGCGUGAGACUCUGCUUCUUACAUUUGCAAUAAACACACAUACACAGACACGUACUCACACAUAUACAACAUACAAGUAUAUAUAUAUAUAUAUGAUGUAUGCACUUAGAAUCGAUUUUAUGCUGCUUGAUACUUCUACUGCUGUCGAAGCUCCAGCGCCUACGAACUUUUUGUAUGCUCUGCACGUAAAAUGCGCCUCCACAAAACUACGCUUCUUUAUAAAAACUUCACAUAUGUAUGUACGUACUCACGCUCACGCACCUCACACUCUCACACAACUCACUCGUGCAACGUUGCGUUGUUCUACUUUGUUAUAUUGUUUCUUUUCUUUUGUUUUUUUUUUGUAUAUGCCAACACUACAUUUGACUGAUUUAUUUGAUUGUUGUGUCUGCUGCCUGUCAUAUGUGUUGCGCGCUGAAUUACGUUGCACUAUUUUUAUGUUGGACUUGUAUUAAAUUUAAUUAGUCUCACUACUGAGAUUAGCGUGACCGCAAGUUCCAUUGCAAAAUAAUCUAU